CUUGCCUGCAAAUGCAUGCUUGUCCAAGCCAAGCACCCAAGCUAACUGGCUAAAGUUGGCUAGUUUGCUAGCUAGCUACUUCCAGACACAAAUGAGAGAACACCUCACUCUUACCAUUUUACUUGCCGUAGCAAAACUGGUUAGGCUGUUUACAUGUUAUCUAGAGCAUUCUUGACUAACUAUUACUUUUUUUGCCUACGUUUACUGACACCUGUCAUAUUCAGCGGGUGUUACGCGUUCAUAAAUUCAUCAGUUGUUCUGCGAUCUGGCACACUCCGACGAGAGUGCUCUGAAAUCGGAGUAGAUAGCCAGAGUGAAUUUGCGAAUGCAAGAGAUAUGUUAACUGGGGGAUAUGGCUCACUGCAUCAUGGUGCAUGAAUGUGAAGAAGGGACGCUGGCCUAUAGCCACCUAUGGCAUAAUGCCACUCAAUGCACAGUGCUGGCUCUCGAUCUGACAUUUACAGAAUCUGUCUACAACUGACUUUGCUGUAGAUCUCAGAUGACCUCUCCCCUUUGUCCUCGGAACCCUGGUCUGCCCUCACAGCCACUCCCCUCUCCUCGGCUGUCCUAAACUCUGUGGGAAACCUCCCAGCGCAUUGUGUCGUCUGGACAUUGUGUGUCCUUUAAGAUAAUGCCCCGACCUCAAUAUCCCACUUCCCUUCCAUACAAUCCCCACCCUCCCAGCUGAAGAAGUGCUGUGUGAAGUAUGGUGCCCAGCACUAACUGGCAUAUAAGUGGGGGACUGGGGAGAGCCAGAGAGAUCCUGGCUGUGGGGUUAAAAGGUGCUUUCCAACUAGCCUCGCAGGACAGCAGCACAGCCUCUAACUCCCUGCUCCUGUACAUUUGGAAUUUCACCUAUUCAAAUCCCCCUGCUUUUCUAGUGAGUGUCAGAACUUCAUGAAUAAUUGGACGGUUAGAGAGAAGUCCUGGUCUGGCUGCUUGACCUCUCCCCAGGACUUCAGUCAUUACAGCUGGUGAUUGGGUCGUUAGCCAGCUUGUGUUGUAUGUGUGUAAUGAGCACAAUUUAGAGUCUGAUUGAUUUAUGAAGCGUUUGUAUUUCCCCAGGUAUAUUCAAGAGGAGAUAAAGCAUGAAAGAUAGAAAUAAUUGUCAAUGUAAG
ensembl:lncRNA